CAGGAGAAUUGUUUGAACCCAGGAGGUGGAGGCAGUGAGCUGCAAUGCCACCACUGCCCUCCAGCUUGAGUGACAGAGUGAGACUCCAUCUUAACAAAAAAAAAAAAAAAAGAAAAGAAAAAGAAAAAGGAAAACGAAAGUGCAGGAAGGAACCUGGCAGUCCCCCAGGGCAAAGACCUGCCCCAGCUCCCAGCCAGCAAGGAAGGGAGACCUGAGUCCUACAAAUGCAAGGAACUGAAUUCAGCCAGCAACUGAAUGAGGCUGGAAGUAGAUUCUUCCCCAGAGCCACCAACAUUUAUUGAGUGCCAAGUGCAUGCCAGGCAGGGUGCCGGGCACUGGAGUGACAAUGGUGGUGAGCAGAGCCUGGCCUGGCCCUGAGCCCCUGGAGCUCACAGUCUAGCAGGGCAGACAGACCCCAAUCACAUCACCCUGGAACCUCUUUCGUUUCUGGCAGAGGCACAAAGGCCACUGUGUGCCUUCCCUCCACCAUCAUGACCACGUUGUUCCCUUCAGCCCCAGCUCAGCCUGUCCGGGGUCCUGCUCUGAGGGCCACAGUGACACGGAAUGGCCUCCAGCUUCCACAGGCGUGUCCUGGAUGAGAACCAGCUUGUGUGCUUUCAGCCACUGGGCCCUGGGGGUUUGCUUGUGGCAGCAUCACCCAUCCGUCCCGCUCAAUGCAGCGCCCUCGGCCCCUGUAGCCUGCACCCUCCCAGAGCCCAGCUCAUGCUCCAGGCACCGCCUGCUGCCCACCAGCCCACACUCAACACGGCACAACCGGACUCCCAGUUUCCCGCCCCCAGCACCCUGCUGCUCACGUGAACUUGGCUGAGUUCUUCCCCAGUUUGGUAAAACUGGAAGUCAAGGCUUCUAGUGUAGCCUGGGGGCACCGCCGGGUGGCUCACUCCCUGCUUCGGGAUGCGCCUGCCCCUGGUCACCUCCAACCCAGUAUUCCUGCCAAGUGGAGACUUUGGGGACAAACAGGGAGAAGAAUGAAGCACCCCGCCAUGCACACCAUCCAAAAUAAAAGAGAUAUUAAGCUAUACAUACGCAUAGGGAAGGCCCACAGAAUUCUGAUUUUCCCAUGGUGACUUCAGUUGCUUUUUUUUUGAAAUAUUCUAUGGAUUUGUCUAUUCUGGACAUUUCAUAAGAAUGUCCAUGCAAGAUGUGCUGUUGGGUGUUUGGCUUCGUUUAUUUUGCAACAGGUUUUCAAAGUUCAUCCAUGUUGUGGUGUGUGCCGGUCCUUCAUUUCUUUUUACGGCUAAUAAUUUUCCAUUGCGUGGAUAUGCCAGUUUGUGGAUCCAUUCUUCAACUGGGGAACAUUUAGGUUGUUUUCACUUUUUGGAUAUUACAAACAGUGCUGUUAAGAACCUUUCUGUCAUCAAAACCACAAUGAGACACCAUCUCACACCAGUUAGAAUGGCGAUCAUUAAAAAGUCAGGAAACAACAGAUGCUGGAGAGGAUGUGGAGAAACAGGAAUGCUUUUACACUGUUGGUGGAAGUGUAAAUUAGUUCAGCCAUUGUGGAAGACAGUGUGGCGAUUCCUCAAGGAUCUAGAGCUA
rnacentral:lncRNA from 10 species